CUUCCUACGGGAGGCAGCAGUGAGGAAUAUUGGUCAAUGGUCGGGAGACUGAACCAGCCAAGCCGCGUGAGGGAUGAAGGUACAGAGUAUCGUAAACCUCUUUUGUCAGGGAACAAAGGCGGGGACGUGUCCCCGGAUGAGUGUACCUGAAGAAAAAGCAUCGGCUAACUCCGUGCCAGCAGCCGCGGUAAUACGGAGGAUGCGAGCGGUAUCCGGAUUUAUUGGGGUUAAAGGGUGCGCAGGCGGUCUGUUAAGUCCGCGGUCAAAGCCAGGGGCGCAACCACGGGCCGC
rnacentral:rRNA from 1 species